rnacentral:rRNA from 1 species
CAGUAGCCGCGGUAACACGUAGGGUGCAAGCGUUAAUCGGAAUUACUGGGCGUAAAGCGUGCGCAGGCGGUUAUAUAAGACAGAUGUGAAAUCCCCGGGCUCAACCUGGGAACUGCAUUUGUGACUGUAUAGCUAGAGUACGGCAGAGGGGGAUGGAAUUCCGCGUGUAGCAGUGAAAUGCGUAGAUAUGCGGAGGAACACCGAUGGCGAAGGCAAUCCCCUGGGCCUGUACUGACGCUCAUGCACGAAAGCGUGGGGAGCAAACAGGAUUAGAUACCCGCGUAGUCCCUGUCUCUUAUAC